rnacentral:lncRNA from 1 species
GUUAGGUUAGGUUAGGUUAGGUUAGGUUAGGUUAGGUUAGGUUAUGGGGUUUGUCCAAAAGUUUGUAUUUUUUGAAUAUUUUUUUUACAAUGGUAAUCGAUACUUCGGACUUUUUUCUAUCAUUUGCUGUUUGAAUUUUAGUUCUAGGAUUUUUUUUGGAUUUUUCGCAACCUUUUAAAGUUAAGAAAAUAAAAUUUUUGAGUUAAGUUAACUUUGAUUACAUGGUUACGUAGAUCUCUUCGAGCGUUACCAAAAAGGUCCUAUACAAUAUAUACUUAACUUUGAUAUUUUAGAAGGUGCCGACGUUUGAAUUUCGAUGUAUCGAGAAAUUUCAAGUUAAGUCAAUUUUGAUUACAUGGUUACGUAGAUCUUUUCAAGCGCUACAAGAAAGGUCCUAUACAAUAUAUACUUAACUUUAAUAUUUUAGAAGGUGCCGACGUUUGAAUUUCGAUGUAUCGAGAAAUUUCAAGUUAAGUCAAUUUUGAUUACAUGGUUACGUAGAUCUUUUCGAGCGCUACCAAAAAGGUCCUAUACAAUAUAUACUUAACUUUAAUAUUUUAGAAGGUGCCGACGUUUGAAUUUUGAUGUAUCAAGAAAUUUCGAGUUAAGUCAACUUUGAUUACAUGGUUUUGUAGAUCUCUUCAAGCGCUACAAGAAAGGUCCUAUACAAUAUAUACUUAACUUUAAUAAUUUAAAUGUUAUUAACAUUAUUCUAAGUUUUGUAAAGGCAUACGUGGACUUAAAAUUGGUACUCGGAAAGUACAUACUAUUUGAUUCAAAAGGUUGUGAAACGCGUUUUGGCACUAUAAAUUUUUGACUGAUUUUUGGAAUUUUUUAAAUUUUUAAAAAAUUUUUUUAAGUUUUUAGUCUUACAUUUGGUUAAAAAAAUCGGUCAAGUUACGACUAUACUAAUCGAUUCAGGAUGUCAAGAAACGCGUUUUGGCACCCUAAAUUUUUGACCGAUUUUUGGAAUUUUUGAAAUUUUUAAAAAAUUUUUUCGUUUUUAGUCUUACAUUUGGUUAAAAAAAUCGGUCAAGUUACGACUAUACUAAUCGAUUCAGGAUGUCAAGAAACGCGUUUUGGCACCCUAAAUUUUUGACCGAUUUUUGGAAUUUUUGAAAUUUUUUUGAAUUUUUUCUAAGUCCUACAAAGGAUUUUUGUUACUAAAAAUUGGUACUGGCAAACCCUAUACCAGUCGAUUCAGAACGUUGAGAAACGCGUUUUGGCACCCUAAAUUUUGGACCGAUUUUUGGAAUUCUUGAAAUUUUUUUGAAUUUUUUCCAAGUCCUACAAAGGAUUUUUGUUACUAAAAAUUGGUACUGGAAAACCCUAUACGAGUCGAUUCAGAACGUCGAGAAACGCGUUUUGGCACCUUAAAUUUUGGACCGAUUUUUGGAAUUUUUGGAAUUUUUUUGAAAUUUUUCUAAGUCCCUAGUCUUAUAAAUGGUUGGAAAAACCGGUCAAGUUACGACUAUACCAAUCGAUUCAGAACGUCGAAAAACGCGUUUUGGCACUACAAAUUUUUGACCGAUUUUUGGAAUUUUUGGAAUUUUUUUGAAAUUUUUCUAAGUCCCUAGUCUUACAUUUGGUUGGAAAAACCGGUCAAGUUACGACUGUACCAAUCGAUUCAGAAGGUCGAGAAACGCGUUUUGGCACGACAAAUUUUGGACCGAUUUUUUUUUGGAAUUUUUUUUUUUUUUUUUUGAAAUUUUUGAGACCUAACCUUUCGAGACGAAACUUUAAUAUUCCAGACCUAACCUUUUUCCAGACCUAACCUUUUUGAGACCUAACCUUUUUUUUUUGUUUUUAAGAUUCGACUUUGACCUUUGGAGACCUAACUCCCCCUCUUUGAAGUUAGGUCUCGACUUUGGGUAUUUUCAAUGUGGUGGUUGCGGUUUGAUUGGCAGUCCUAACCGAGUUGAGUUUGGGUUUGGGUUUGGUUUGGUUUGGUUUGGUUUGGUUAGGUUAGGUUAGGUUAGGUUAGGUUUAAGGGUUUCUGCAGGAUUUUUUUUUUAUUUAGCAUUUUUUACGUAUUCUUGGGGACCCCCCCAACAUCCCCACAGUGUUCGUUUGUCAAUCAUUUAGCUCUAGCGCCCUGUACAAUUCGUUUUAUGAAACUUGAAAUUUUUGAAGGCUUGUAUCUCGAUUGGAACGAUAUAUACAGUGGUUUUGACACUUGGUCCUUGUAGAUCUUGACGAGAGGAGCAACUUUGGUCCUCUGGUCCAAACUCGUAUCUCUUACCGUUUGGCCGGCGCAAGCGUUUGAAAUUUUGAGAAUUUCAAAAAGUAAUAAUUUUUUAACUUUCGCAUUUUUCCCUUAUAGAACUCGACGAGAGGAGUAAUUUUGGUCCUCUCGCCCAACCUCGUAUCUCUUACCGUUUAGCCUGUACAAUUCGUUGAAAUUUUUUUUUUUCGUCCACCGGACUUUGACAUUUUUUUCUUAUAGAUCUCGACGUGGGGAGCAUUUUUGGUCCUCUUGGUCAACCUCGUAUCUUUCACCGUUUGGCUUGCACGGCUGUUACAGCGUCAGUUUGCUAGUUUAAAUUUUUGUAAAAUUUUUUUAACGCUGGAAACGAAUUCUCAACACCUUUCCCUUUCACCUCGCGUUUGGUUCACAAUCCUACGAUUUUUUUUCAAUCUUUGGCAGCUAAUCAAAGUUUGAUAAGUAGUCCUACAAAGGAAAUCAAAAAAUGGUAUCUAUAAAGUAUAUACCAGUCGAUUCAGAACGUCGAGAAACGCGUUUUGGCACCUUAAAUUUUGGACCAAUUUUUGGAAUUUUUGGAAUUUUUUUGAAAUUUUUCUAAGUCCCUAGUCUUAUAAAUGGUUGGAAAAACCGGUCAAGUUACAACUGUACCAAUCGAUUCAGAAGGUCGAGAAACGCGUUUUGGCACGACAAAUUUUGGACCGAUUUUUGGAAUUUUUGGAAUUUUUGAAAUUUUUUUUUUCGUCCACCGGACUUUGGCACUUUUUUCUUAUAGAUCUCGACGUGGGGAGCAUUUUUGGUCCUCUUGGUCAACCUCGUAUCUUUCACCGUUUGGCUUGCACGGCUGUCACAGCGUCAGUUUGCUAGUUUAAAUUUUUGUAAAAUUUUUUUAACGCUGGAAACGAAUUCUCAACACCUUUCCCUUUCACCUCGCGUUUGGUUCACAAUCCUACGAUUUUUUUUCAAUCUUUGGCAGCUAAUCAAAGUUUGAUAAGUAGUCCUACAAAGGAAAUCAAAAAAUGGUAUCUAUAAAGUAUAUACCAGUCGAUUCAGAACGUCGAGAAACGCGUUUUGGCACCCUAAAUUUUGGACCGAUUUUUGGAAUUUUUGGAAUUUUUUUGAAAUUUUUCCAAGUUCUACAAAGGCGUACGGAAACUAAAAAUUGGUACUGGCAAACCCUAUACCAGUCGAUUCAGAACGUCGAGAAACGCGUUUUGGCACCUUAAAUUUUGGACCAAUUUUUGGAAUUUUUGAAAUUUUUUUUUUUCGUCCACCGGACUUUGGCACUUUUUUCUUAUAGAUCUCGACGUGGGGAGCAUUUUUGGUCCUCUUGGUCAACCUCGUAUCUUUCACCGUUUGGCUUGCACGGCUGUCACAGCGUCAGUUUGCUAGUUUAAAUUUUUGUAAAAUUUUUUUAACGCUGGAAACGAAUUCUCAACACCUUUCCCUUUCACCUCGCGUUUGGUUCACAAUCCUACGAUUUUUUUUCAAUCUUUGGCAGCUAAUCAAAGUUUGAUAAGUAGUCCUACAAAGGAAAUCAAAAAAUGGUAUCUAUAAAGUAUAUACCAGUCGAUUCAGAACGUCGAGAAACGCGUUUUGGCACCCUAAAUUUUGGACCGAUUUUUGGAAUUUUUGGAAUUUUUUUGAAAUUUUUCCAAGUUCUACAAAGGCGUACGGAAACUAAAAAUUGGUACUGGCAAACCCUAUACCAGUCGAUUCAGAACGUCGAGAAACGCGUUUUGGCACCUUAAAUUUUGGACCAAUUUUUGGAAUUUUUGAAAUUUUUUUUUUCGUCCACCGGACUUUGGCACUUUUUUCUUAUAGAUCUCGACGUGGGGAGCAUUUUUGGUCCUCUUGGUCAACCUCGUAUCUUUCACCGUUUGGCUUGCACGGCUGUCACAGCGUCAGUUUGCUAGUUUAAAUUUUUGUAAAAUUUUUUUAACGCUGGAAACGAAUUCUCAACACCUUUCCCUUUCACCUCGCGUUUGGUUCACAAUCCUACGAUUUUUUUUCAAUCUUUGGCAGCUAAUCAAAGUUUGAUAAGUAGUCCUACAAAGGAAAUCAAAAAAUGGUAUCUAUAAAGUAUAUACCAGUCGAUUCAGAACGUCGAGAAACGCGUUUUGGCACCUUAAAUUUUGGACCAAUUUUUGGAAUUUUUGGAAUUUUUUUGAAAUUUUUCUAAGUCCCUAGUCUUAUAAAUGGUUGGAAAAACCGGUCAAGUUACGACUAUACCAAUCGAUUCAGAACGUCGAAAAACGCGUUUUGGCACUACAAAUUUUUGACCGAUUUUUGGAAUUUUUGGAAUUUUUUUGAAAUUUUUCUAAGUCCCUAGUCUUACAUUUGGUUGGAAAAACCGGUCAAGUUACGACUGUACCAAUCGAUUCAGAAGGUCGAGAAACGCGUUUUGGCACGACAAAUUUUGGACCGAUUUUUUUUUGGAAUUUUUUUUUUUUUUUUUUGAAAUUUUUGAGACCUAACCUUUCGAGACGAAACUUUAAUAUUCCAGACCUAACCUUUUUCCAGACCUAACCUUUUUGAGACCUAACCUUUUUUUUUUGUUUUUAAGAUUCGACUUUGACCUUUGGAGACCUAACUCCCCCUCUUUGAAGUUAGGUCUCGACUUUGGGUAUUUUCAAUGUGGUGGUUGCGGUUUGAUUGGCAGUCCUAACCGAGUUGAGUUUGGGUUUGG